rnacentral:snRNA from 1 species
GUGCUCGCUUUGGCAGCACAUAUACUGAAAUUGGAACGAUACAGAGAUUAGCAUGGCCCCUGCACAAGGAUGACACGCAAAUUCGUGAAGCGUUCCAUAAAAAA